CCUGAAUGGACUGAGACAAGAUGCUCUAUUUUUAUUAUUUUUUAAGAUAUGGAAUGUUAAGGGGGCGUCUGGGUGGCUCAGUCGAUUAAGCGUCCAACUCUUGAUUUUGACUCAAGCCAUGAUCUCUAGGUUGUGACAUCGAACCCUGCAUCGGGCUAUGCGCUGGGCAUGGAGCCUGCUUAAGAUUCUCUCUCUCCCUCUGCCUCCGCCCCUCCCCGCCUCUAAAAAAAUACGUGGAAUGUUAAGAAAUCAAGUCAUCUGGUUUCAUCCUGUUGCAAUGACCUACCGCUGCAUUAACAAACCAGCUCAAACUCAGCAGUGUACGGUAGCCAUCUACGCACGUGGCAUUCCAGGGGCCGGGCACGGGGACCGCUGUUGACGUGAGCACCUUUGCAUGGUCUCAGGGGAAUCAGGCUUCUUACACGGGGCCUCCAAGAGCUCAUCCAGCAGACCAGCAGAAGUCUUCUCUGCCCAGCACUGGUAUCAGGAAAGGGACACCGCACCUCAUGAGGGAGAAAAGUCUAAAUGUUUUUGUCCUUCACAAAAUAAGGUUUGUCCUUGUUUCUCUUUGCAGAGCACGGACAACUAAGACCCCAGAACUCGGGGGAAGGCGCCUGGGGCAGGACCCGGGCCUCCUGCCAUGGCCAGGAGGGAGCAUCCAGCCACACACGCCCUCCAGCCAUGCACCGGGCACCCCUCACCCCACCCUGAAGGUGUGAUGAAAUGCUCAUGAAGAAGCUUCCUCUUCCCAACGCACCAGGCCAUAUCUGCAAAUAGACGGACAGCAGAUUUCGAGCAGAGGCCACAAUGAGGGCAAGCACUGGACCCUCAGAGAGCCCGGCUUCAACAUCAAACCAAGGCCUCGCUGGCAGCCGCCGGGCCUGUGGUGGUGAAGGUGGGCACUCGGCACCUUCGUCUUGGGAGCGAGGGCCACCAGGAUUUGAGGUGUACAUGUGAUAGGAUCUCCAUCUCCUGGAAACUUCAGUUCUCACUGGGAUGAGACAUCCGCGUGGGAAAUAGCUGGAAACUGGAGGGAACCCCAGCAGCAGUGUGUAGCGGGAGUGGGCAGGCUUUGAGGAGCGGAAUGGCCUCACCAGCACACAGACGCCGCUUGGCCCCCUCACAUGUCCUGGCCCACGUGAGACCAGUCCUCUUCCUGGCGGCGACCAUGUCAAGGUGCCUAGAUACUGGGGGCUCCCACCUACAGCCCACCUGUCAGAGGAGUAGGAUUCGUACACAUGGCCUCAGACUCAGGAGAGCGGGUGGUGGCAGGGAAAUGACAGUGGCAUAUGAAGAGGCCAGAGACAUUGCGGCUCUGGGGACAGCCCAGCAAUAGCUUCUGGGAGUCCAGGUCUCUGGAAGGGGGUGCCAACUCUGGCUUUGGGCUCCGUCUCUAAAUGGACCCUCCUGGCUGGCCACCCGAAAGGAAAGAGGGCUUGAUCGUUGGAGCCCAGGAGGUAAGACAUGCCUGGAAUCACCCAGGCCCACAAAAAGGGCCCACUGUACGAGUCCCCGUGGGGCACUGGGGAAAGUGAGUCCCACUGCCCCUGGCCAUCCAGUAGCGCUGCCCGGUGGAGACGGCAGCAGGCACGCUUGGGGCCAGUGGCCUCUCUUCAGCCACCCCUGUGGGGAUGGUGACCUUCCCCCAAAUGCCCAGAGCAUCUGCUUGCUCACAGCCAGGCUGCUGGGUGGUGGAUGUGUGGGAAUCUGGGUGUGAGCAUCCACCGCCUCGCUCCGCUGGCAGCUCCCUGCAGCCCACUCCCCACCUUGGCCAAGAUGCCCUCGGGGCCAGGUGUGGAGACUGGCAGUGCUGCUCUGCCACUCUGUGCUCCGCAGGCGCUCCCCAGAGAAGGGCCAAGCCAAAGCGUUUUCAAGCUGGCCAGUGGCAUCUAAAGCCACUGGCUUUUUUCUUAGUCCUUUUAAGACUUUACUUAGUGUUGACGGGGCGCCUGGGCGGCUCAGGUCAUGAUCCCAGGGUUCUGGGAUGGAGCCCCUCGUCAGGCUCCCUGCUCGGCAGGAAGCCUGCUUCUUCCUCUCCCACUCCCCCUGCUUGUGUUCCC